rnacentral:rRNA from 1 species
AACGAACGCUGGCGGCGUGCCUAACACAUGCAAGUCGUGCGAGAAAGUUCCUUCGGGAGCGAGUAAAGCGGCGCACGGGUGAGUAACACGUAGGUAACCUGCCCCCCAGUCUGGAACAACUAGAGGAAACUCUAGCUAAUGCCGGAUGAGACCACGAUCCCUUCGGGGGUUGCGGCCAAAGAUGGCCUCUACUUGUAAGCUAUCGCUGAGGGAUGGGCCUGCGGGCCAUUAGCUUGUUGGUGAGGUAACGGCUCACCAAGGCUGUGAUGGCUAGCUGGUCUGAGAGGAUGACCAGCCACACUGGGACUGAGACACGGCCCAGACUCCUACGGGAGGCAGCAGUGGGGAAUAUUGCGCAAUGGGCGAAAGCCUGACGCAGCGACGCCGCGUGGGUGAUGAAGGCCUCGGUCGUAA